UAGGGAAUCUUGCGCAAUGGGCGAAAGCCUGACGCAGCCAUGCCGCGUGAAUGAUGAAGGUCUUAGGAUUGUAAAAUUCUUUCACCGGGGAAGAUAAUGACGGUACCCGGAGAAGAAGCCCCGGCUAACUUCGUGCCAGCAGCCGCGGUAAUACGAAGGGGGCUAGCGUUGCUCGGAAUUACUGGGCGUAAAGGGCGCGUAGGCGGAUAUUUAAGUUGGGGGUGAAAGCCCGGGGCUCAACCUCGGAAUAGCCUUCAAUACUGGAUAUCUUGAGUUCGGGAGAGGUGAGUGGAAUGCCGAGUGUAGAGGUGAAAUUCGUAGAUAUUCGGCGGAACACCAGUGGCGAAGGCGACUCACUGGCCCGAUACUGACGCUGAGGCGCGAAAGCGUGGGGAGCAAACAGGAUUAGAUACCCUGGUAGUCCACGCCGUAAACGAUGAGUGCUAGUUGUCGGCAUGCAUGCAUGUCGGUGACGCAGCUAACGCAUUAAGCACUCCGCCUGGGGAGUACGGUCGCAAGAUUAAAAACUCAAAGGAAUUGAC
rnacentral:rRNA from 1 species